rnacentral:rRNA from 1 species
UACGAAGGGAGCUAGCGUUGUUCGGAAUCACUGGGCGUAAAGCGCACGUAGGUGGACAAUUAAGUCAGGGGUGAAAGCCCGAGGCUCAACCUCGGAAUUGCCUCUGAUACUGGUUGUCUAGAGUCCGAGAGAGGUGGGUGGAAUUCCUAGUGUAGAGGUGAAAUGCGUAGAGAUUAGGAAGAACACCGGUGGCGAAGGCGGCCCACUGGCUCGGUACUGACACUGAGGUGCGAAAGCGUGGGGAGCAAACAGG